rnacentral:rRNA from 1 species
AUUGAACGCUGGCGGCAGGCCUAAUACAUGCAAGUCGAACGAGUGGCGGACGGGUGAGCAAUGGAUGGGAAACUGCCUAAUGGAGGGGGAAAACUACUGGAACAGGUAGCUAAUACUGCAUACAGCCCGAUGUGCCCAGAUGGGAUUAGCUUGUUGGUGGGGUAACGGCACACCAAGGCGAAGAUCCCUAGCAGGUCUGAGAGGAUGAGCGGCCACACUGGGACUGAGACACGGUCCAGACUCCUACGGGAGGCAGCAGUAGGGAAUAUUGCACAAUGGGCGCAAGCCUGAUGCAGCCAUGCCGCGUGUAUGAAGAAGGCCUUCGGGUUGUAAAGUUCUGUCGGCGGGGAGGCGUUACCCGCAGAAGAAGCACCGGCUAACUCCGUGCCAGCAGCCGCGGUAAUAC